UCAGUCAUCUAAGCCAGCUCAAGAGAAGAAGCCCUAGGUUUCUACUGCUAAUGGUCAUGCUACAGCCCCUGCUGCUAAAAACUUUUGGCUUAAGACCCAAAAAUCUAUCCAUAUUGAGAUAGAAUGUACCAUUAGAUGCCCAUCAUGCAAGGAAGAAAUUGGAGUUGAAGCGAGGUAAUGGCAAAAUAUGAUAGGUGUCGCUUGGGAUUUGUGGUAAAUGAUGUAACAGGAUCUUUACAUGCUGCAAUUUUCAGUCCAUAUGCUUAGAAAUUGUUAUCAUAUACCACUCUUCAUCUAGCCAGCUGAUGACCAAAUUCGGAUGAUUGCAGCUCUCAGCUCCAUUAGUUUUUAGCAUAUAUAAUGGAACCAAUCAUUAUAGCAUUUUUUUUUUUCCUUUUUGGCUUUGAAUUCUUGAAAAAAUUACUGUUGAGAUUUUAAGUAGGAUAUAAAUUAUGUCAAUAUCUUUGAAACUACAAA